GUCCUUGCCGUAAACGAUGCAUACUUGAUGUAGCUGGGCUCAACCCUGGCUGUGUCGGAGCGAACGCGUUAAGUAUGCCGCCUGAGGAGUACGUCCGCAAGGAUAAAACUCAAAAGAAUUGACGGGGGCCCGCACAAGCAGUGGAGCAUGUGGUUUAAUUCGAUGCAACGCGAAGAACCUUACCCAGGUUUGACAUACAGAGGACGAUAACAGAGAUGUUAUUUCCCGCAAGGGUCUUUGUACAGGUGCUGCAUGGCUGUCGU
rnacentral:rRNA from 1 species